rnacentral:lncRNA from 1 species
GCCACUGACAUUGUCUCUGACUUGGGACUGACACAAAGUCAAGUUGCAGUGUUUAUUAAAGUUUUGGACCCCUUCACCGUUUUAUUUCAUCAGUGAAAAUACGAAAAGUUAAAAAUAACCUUAGAUUGUACAAUAAAAAUCAAGUUCUGAAACAGCACUUAUCUUUGUAAAAAAAAAAUUCUUACAGACAACAAAAUCACAACAGAAACAUUCUUAUUAAUUUAUACCAUAUCAAGAAAAGCAC